GAGACCAGGUCUCAGGUCACCCAACCCAUGGUAAAGGUCUGCCCCACACGGGAGUCAACACACGCCUGAGCCCAAACCAAGACCCGGACAGCAAAGCACCUCCGGAUGGCGUGGCAGAGGUGCCAGCGAGGGCAAGGGAGGCCGCGGGGACAGGAGGAUGCUGCCGGGCACUGCCGCGACGCGAGCCCGGGGCAGCUGGGGCAGCUCCGCUCUCAGCAGAUGCAGCGCACGUAGAGCAGACGUACCGUGGUUGUUUUUAAAAACACACACGACAAGAGGAGGACGCAGCGGAGAGCCGCCCGGGCAGGCGCACCGCUGGAGCAACAGCUGCCGGGGGAGGCCGGGCGGUUCUGCGAGCUGGCGUGCCGGCAGUGACGCUGCACGGCAUCCUUCUGGCAGUGCCGGCUGCCGUGUGAGAUGGGGACGGAGGGGGACGCCCCGCCGAAGCAGCCGCACAGCCUACAGGCAUCUCUCUGGAAAUGGGGCACUCAGCUCUCAGCAGCGCUGGCUGCGGCUUUCCCUGCUCCUGCCAUACCCAUUUCUCGGAGCUGGCGUCCCAGCUGGUCCCUGGGAGCUCGGGUGGAAUGCAGCCGGGGGAUGGGUUCAGUGCGCUUUCCAGGGCGGAGCGCUUGCCCGCGCUGAAGGAUGGACCUGUUGGAAAAGGCUUCGGAACCGCGGCCGCUGGCGCUCAGCCCCUGCUUGCUCAUCUGGGAUGCUCUUCCCGAUCUUUCAUGUUUCUCCAGUCAUCUUAAAUCAGCCUAAUCCUGUCACAAAGUCCUUACUGCUCUGCAGUCUCUUACAUGUGUUGUUUGCUUUCUUAUUAACUCUGUAAUAUCUGGGCACGUGCCUGCUGUUCAAUGUUUAAAUACUCCGUUUUCCACAUUUUCUGCAAUGGGUUUUUUUUUUUCAUUGCCUUCUUUUUAGCAUCUUUGGAAAGGAGUUAAUUCUCAUAAAACAAUAUGAAUACAUAUUACAGACUAGUUAUUUUUGUCUAUUUCCCAUACACUUAUCUUUUGGGAUUCUUGACAGCAGGCAUUUUAAAGAUACUUUCGUUUACUAAAAUGUUGAAUUCUCAUAAAACAAUAUGAAUACAUA